rnacentral:lncRNA from 1 species
GAAGCAGCCGUGGACACCAGCUCCGAGAUCACCACCAAGGGCAUAAAGGAGAAGGAAGUUAUGGGGAGGCAGAAAAUGGAAGAGAUGUCCCUGCUAAUGGGAAGGCUAAUUAGGAAAAUCAGGAUCAGAAGGCUGGCAAUGAGAGAGAUGAAAAAGAAGAAGAAGGAAGUGGGGAGGAAGAGGAAGAGAAAUAAGAAGAUAAUGGUGAGGAACAGGAUGGAGAUGAAGAUGAGGGAGCUGAGGCUGCUGGGGGCAAAUGGGCAGCUGAUGAGGAUGACAAUGUUGAUACCA